ACUGCCAUUCUGGAAGUGGACACCACUAACUGGGUUUUGGCACGACAGUUAUGAAAAAGAAAGACACUUGAGGGAUUCCGGGUUUUCACUUUGGAAUUGGAGAUAAGGGAUCGUGGGCCCGUGUAGUCUCGGAAGAGGUUGUGUAGUUUAGGAUCAAAGAGCUGGCCGUGAUGAGGGCAGGGAUGCAGGCGCAGCCCGUCUGACUCCAAACUGCCUUGCUCUUAACCCGACUGCAAGACCCUCAAGAACACGGGCCCCAUGGUUUUCCUCUUAUGUUUCUAUCAUCUCUAAAAUACAACAGCCUGGUGGGCAGGCCCUGCUUGCCCUGCUCUGCUGGCUCUGGCAUGGGCUGGCUCACCCUGCCAGCUGGCUACAGCCCCUGGGCCCGCCAGCCACCCCGCCUGGCUCACCACCCUGCAGUUUGCUCCUGGACAGCAGCCUCUCCAGCAACUGGGAUGACGACAGCCUAGGGUGGGUUCAAGUGCAGGGUAUGGGGGGCUAGGGGGAAGGUGGGGGAUAUCACCGGGGCUCCAUGGAGAUUCGUGGUGAAUGGGGACCACUCCCACAAACCUGGCCCCCAUCACAUCCUGGGGAAGGGGACCA
rnacentral:lncRNA from 1 species